ACGGAACAAAGAGUGCUGCAAAGAGAGGCCGUAAAGUGCUCUGCUGAGUGCUGCAAAGAGAGGCCGUAAAGAGCGGGGAAAAGAAGAGCUGUGAAGUGUAGAGAAGUGCUGCAAAAAAGAGCUGCAAAGUGUAGAGGGGAGGAAGAGGAGGAAGAGUGCUGCAAAGAGAGGCUGUAAAUUGUGAGGAAAAGUGCUGCAAAGAAGAGCUGUAAAGUGUGGAGAAGUGCUGCAAAAAAGCUGUCAAGCGUAGAGGCGAGUUAGUGUUGCAAAGAAGGGCUGUAAAGUGUGAGGAAGAGUGCUGCAAAGAGGAGCUGUAAUGUGUAGAGAGGAGGAGGAAGACUACUGUAAAGAGAGGCUGUAAAUUGUGAGGAAAAGUGCUGCAAAGAAGAGCUGUAAAGUGUGAGGAACAGAGCUGCAAAGAGGAGCUGUAAAGUAGAGAGAAGUGCUGCAAAGAGGAGCUGUAAAGUGUAGAGAGGAGGAGGAAGAUUGUUGCAAAGAGAAGCUGUAAAGAGGAGGAAGAGUGCUGUAAAGAGAGGCUGUAAAUUGUGAGGAAAAGUGCUGCAAAGAAGAGCUGUGAAGUGCUGAAAAAAAGCUGUCAAGCGUAGAGGCGAGGACGAAUGCUGCAAAGAAGGGCUGUAAAGUGUAGAGAGGAGGAGGAAGAGUGCUGCAAAGAGAAGCUGUAACGUGUAAAGAGGAGGAUAAGUGCUGUAAAGAGAGGCUGUAAAGUGUGAGGAAGAGUGCUGCAAAGAGAAGCUGUAACGUGUAAAGAGGAGGAUGAGUGCUGUAAAGAGAGGCUGUAAAGUGUGAGGAAGAGUGCUGCAAAGAGGAGCUGUAAAGUAGAGAGGAGAAGUGCUGCAAAGAAGAGCUGUAAACUGAGAAGGUGAGGAAAAAUGCAAAAAAGAGGAAGUAAAGGACGAGGAAGAUGAGUGCUGCAAAGAGGAGCUGUAAAGUGCGGAGGGGAGGAAGAGUGCUGCAAAGAGAUGCCAUAAAGUGGGAAAGCUUCUGUAACAAAGGCCGGUAGGGCGAAACAUCCUCAGCCCCCAGACUCCUCUGUCCUCCAGACCCGUAUGUCCUCCUCCAGGCCCCUCUGCCCUCUUUAGACAACUCUGUCUUCCUCCAGACCCCUCUGUCCCCUUCAGACCUCUCUGUCCUCUUUCAGACCUCUCUCCUCCUCUAGACCCCUCCAUCCUCUUUCAGAUCUCUCUUUCCUCCUCCAGACUCCAUUGGCCACCUCCAGACUCCCCUGUCCUUCAGACCCCUCCUCCUACAGACUACUCUGCCCCUUUAAGACCCCUCUGUCCUCUUCCAGACCACUCUGUCCUCCUCUAGACCCCUCUGUCCUCUUCCCAAUCCCUCUGUCAUUUCCAGACCCAUCUGUGCUCCCCAGACUCCUCUGAACCCUGCAGACUUCACUGUUCUCCUUCUUCCUCUGUCCACCUUCAGACUCAUCUGUCUCGUUCCAGACCACUUCCAGACUUCUCUGUCUCCCAGCAGGCCCCUCUGUUCCCUUUAAAUUCCCAUGUCCCCUCCAGACUCCCCUGUCCCUCCCCAUAUUUCUGUGUCCUCUCCAGACCCCCCUGCUUACUCAAGAUCCCUCUGUCCCCCUCCAGACUCUUCUGUCCUCUCAAGAUCCAUCUGCCAUCCUUCAGACUCCUUUGCUUCCUCCCGAGACUCCUAUCCCCUCCAGACUCAUUUGUCCUCUCCACAUCUCUGUCUCAAUAAAGACCAUUUUCUCUUCUCCAGACCCCUGGUACUCUCCAGAUUCCUGUGACCUCUCCAGACUCCUCUGUUUCCCUUCUCUUAAAUCUUAUGCCCCCUCCAGACUCCUCUGCCCUCUCUAAACUCCUCUAUCCUUAUGUGACUCCUCUAUCCUCUCCAGAUUCCUUUUGUCCUUCUUUAAACUCCUA